GGUUUUCGGUUUUCGUCGUUGUCGCUCUCUGUCUUAUUACCACCCUCCGUUUGCUCAUAGUCGCUGGCGACAGAAGCAGUAGGUUCUAGGGCUGGUCGUCUUUGUUGUCUCCUUGCUCCGAGUCUCACCAUCAGCUUCCUUCACGCAACCAAAAGUUGGUCCCGAUUUGGAUUAUUAGUAUCAAUGAAAAACCAUCAAUUGUAUACUAACAAGGAUGAAGUUAAAAGAGUAUAAGAGGGUCGCAUUAUUAUUUCGGAUGCAAUAUUGGGCACUACUGGAAGAAAAGUUAAAGUUUUAGAAGUAUCAAAUAAUCACAGAGAAGAAGUUCAGAGACAGAUACGGUGUUUUGAUAAUUCUUUGAGACUCUCAUCCCAACAUUUUUUACAAGGGCUUGUUUAUUUUCGCGAGGGGGAGACAUGGGUUUUUAUUUACCAGCAUUAUGAUAAGGACUUAGCUGAUGUCUGGGUCGAGGAUUGGGACAAAUUCAAGCUUUAUCUAAAGCAAUUUUUACAAGCUCUCGCAAUAUUAUACGAAGGGAAGAAUAUGUAUCAUGGAAA